UACGGAGGGUGCAAGCGUUUAAUCGGAAUUACUGGGCGUAAAGCGUGCGCAGGCGGUUUGUUAAGUCCGCUGUGAAAUCCCCGAGCUCAACUUGGGAAUUGCAGUGGAUACUGGCAAGCUGGAGUAUGGUAGAGGAAGGUGGAAUUCCCGGUGUAGCAGUGAAAUGCGUAGAGAUCGGGAGGAACACCAGUGGCGAAGGCGGCCUCCGGACCAAUACU
rnacentral:rRNA from 1 species